GAUGAACGCUAGCGGCAGGCCUAACACAUGCAAGUCGAGGGGGAGGUUACCUUCGGGUAACUGAGACCGGCGUACGGGUGCGUAACGCGUAUACAAUCUGCCUUUCACUGGGGGAUAGCCCGAAGAAAUUUGGAUUAAUACCCCAUAGUAUAGUAAUACGGCAUCGUGAUGCUAUUAAAGCUUAGGUGGUGAAAGAUGAGUAUGCGUUCUAUUAGCUAGUUGGAGAGGUAACGGCUCCCCAAGGCGAUGAUAGAUAGGGGUUCUGAGAGGGAUGUCCCCCACACUGGUACUGAGAUACGGACCAGACUCCUACGGGAGGCAGCAGUGAGGAAUAUUGGACAAUGGUCGGAAGACUGAUCCAGCCAUGCCGCGUGCAGGAGGAAGGUCUUAUGGAUUGUAAACUGCUUUUGUAAGGGAAGAAUAAGGGCUACGCGUAGUUUGAUGACGGUACCUUACGAAUAAGCAUCGGCUAACUCCGUG
rnacentral:rRNA from 1 species